ensembl:lncRNA
AUUCUGCUGCAACUUUGUUCUGCUGCUAACUGCAGACACACAUGGAGGAAAUAAAACCAUGUGCACAUCAACAGUGAUGGAAAAGAAUGGUAGCACAGUAUGGCUUGCAUGGAAACCAAAACAAGUUGUACACUUUGGCUAUUCAGAAGACUUCUACGUCCCAUGAAGUAAGGCCCGGCACGAGGGCUGCCGCCCCUGCGAACGAGCGGUUCUCAGCUCCACGCGGCCGAGCCCCGAGCAGGGAGGAGGCAGCAGCCGGCUGGAGUGAGAGUCGGGGAGAAAAAGAGAGGAGGGUGCUCAGGCACGCGAUAUUGCCUCAUCGACUUUCGCCCGCCCCCAACUCCACGGACCAAAAAAAUCGCGUUUCCUCCUUCGGCAACGGCAGUCCUCUUGGGUUUCCUUAAUAACUCAAGCCAGAGGGGCAUUCCUCGAAAAAAAUAUAUUUUUUUUUUUCCCCGAAACCGAGAUACGGCUGCGUCCGCAACCGCCGCCCCGGCGGGGGUCCCGGGGCUCUUCCCACGAACCGCUUCCGCGGGGCCGGGAGCACACCCGGCUGCCCGCCCCACCACCUGGCCCCUUCCCUCUGUCCUCCAGCCGUCAGCAUCCGAAGACGAUUCGCUGGACGUGUCCCCGGGCCCCCGCACGGCGCUGUGAGCCGCGGGGUCGUUCGGCUGCCUGCGCACGAAAGCCCCAUAUUGCCCCUGCCUGCCGGUAGCCGCUUUCCCGUAAUUUCCAUUAUCCGAAGCACAUCGCGUGUUCUCGCUGCAGCCACUCCGGGGUGAGCCACGCGCCGCUGCCCGCGGGCUGUAACACAGCAUCAGCUGCCGUGGAGUUCCCUGCUUUGAUUUGUUUGGCGUUUGGAUGCUGCGGUUGUUCACUGUUUAUUAUCCCGGGUUUGUUUUCGAGUCAGUGACACUUCGAGUCUGAAUGCUUGUUAUUUACAGUUCUGGAGAGAGGCUCAUGAGACGUCCAAAUAAGCCCCGGUUAUGGAAUUGGAAACCAUCAUUUCCGUAGGCGUACAGGUACAUAUAUGAAGCCAGCGACGAUUCGAAGCCCAGCAGGAGAAAAACAACGUGCAAAGGCACGAUGGAUAACGCAAAGGUCUAUUGUGGCUUCAUCAUCUUUCUUCAGAUCGCCGACCUACCGCGGGAGGCCGCCUACAAUUUUAGCCUCUGUCACCACGAGGAUAUACGAGACGAUCUCCUAAACGCUUUCGAUGAGCGCAUGACCUUCAGCGAGGGGCCGUUGCUCGAUUUUCACACCUGCGAGGACGCGUCCGCGGGCCCGCAGCUGUCCGAGGACGCCCGCCGGGCGCAGCAGGAGGGCCGCCUGCUGGAGUGCGUCCUGGACGGGGCGCGGG